AGUGGCGAACGGGUGAGUAACACGUGGGCAACCUGCCCAAAANAGGGGGAUAACACUUGGAAACAGGUGCUAAUACCGCAUAACCAUAGUUACCGCAUGGUAACUAUGUAAAAGGUGGCUAUACUACCGCUUUUGGAUGGGCCCGCGGCGCAUUAGCUAGUUGGUAGGGUAAAGGCUUACCAAGGCAAUGAUGCGUAGCCGAAUUGAGAGGUUGAUCGGCCACAUUGGGACUGAGACACGGCCCAAACUCCUACGGGAGGCAGCAG
rnacentral:rRNA from 1 species